UACGUAGGGUGCAAGCGUUGUCCGGAAUUAUUGGGCGUAAAGAGCUCGUAGGCGGUUUGUCGCGUCUGCUGUGAAAACUCAGGGCUUAACCCUGAGCUUGCAGUGGGUACGGGCAGACUAGAGUGCGGUAGGGGGAGACUGGAAUUCCUGGUGUAGCGGUGAAAUGCGCAGAUAUCAGGAGGGAACACCGGUGGGCGAAGGCGGGGUCUCUGGGCCGUAACUGACGC
rnacentral:rRNA from 1 species